rnacentral:misc_RNA from 1 species
UGGAAGUAAAAGUCGUAACAAGGUUUCCGUAGGUGAACCUGCGGAAGGAUCAUUACCUAGAGUUUGUAGACUUCGGUCUGCUACCUCUUACCCAUGUCUUUUGAGUACCUUCGUUUCCUCGGCGGGUCCGCCCGCCGAUUGGACAACAUUCAAACCCUUUGCAGUUGCAAUCAGCGUCUGAAAAAACAUAAUAGUUACAACUUUCAACAACGGAUCUCUUGGUUCUGGCAUCGAUGAAGAACGCAGCGAAAUGCGAUAAGUAGUGUGAAUUGCAGAAUUCAGUGAAUCAUCGAAUCUUUGAACGCACAUUGCGCCCCUUGGUAUUCCAUGGGGCAUGCCUGUUCGAGCGUCAUUUGUACCUUCAAGCUCUGCUUGGUGUUGGGUGUUUGUCUCGCCUCUGCGUGUAGACUCGCCUUAAAACAAUUGGCAGCCGGCGUAUUGAUUUCGGAGCGCAGUACAUCUCGCGCUUUGCACUCACAACGACGACGUCCAAAAGUACAUUUUUACACUCUUGACCUCGGAUCAGGUAGGGAUACCCGCUGAACUUAAGCAUAUCAAUAAGCGGAGGA